UCAUCUCUCUCCAAAAAAUAGAGCAAGAGUUGCUGUAAAUCUAGCCGCAAACGACCCUAAAAGACUCGAACUCUUUCCUCCUCUUCCUCUCACCCAUCAACAUCAACAAACAUACAGUAACAUAUAGUCGAGAUUGACGAGAGAGAGAGAGGUCAAUUCAGAUUCAAAUCCAUGGCUGUUUGUCGUUUUGGUCAUGGUUCUUUUUCGAGUUGAGUCAUUCUUCUUGAGGUUGUCGAUUAAGGUUUUUGGAAGCUGUUGAGCUUGAGGAUCGGCUACUGUUGUUUACUGCCGUGCUGCGGAUCUGCUCAGUUUCUUCUUCGUUCUUUUUUUUUGAGAUUUUUCGGCGAGUUUGGAGGCCCGUGGAUCUCGGUAAAGUUUUCUGCAUAAGGUUCUUUCUUCUUUUUUCUUUAAUGUGUAAAUUUUUGAUGAAGUUGCCUCAUGUACAUAUUACUUUGGUUCGUCGAGUUGAAAUUUGCAUUACUUUGAUUCCGAACUUUGCAUGUAUCUAUAUACCAUUUUUCUCAAAGUUGAACUCUAUUUUAGUCCUCUCGAUUUUUGUUUUGGAAGAGUUUAAAAAAGCAACUGUUAGAACCUAACUGUUUUUUUAUAUUUUUAAAAUUUUUUAUGUUGUGGUCUGAAGAGUUCUCCAAACAUAUCUGAUUUUUUCAACGGAAAAGAAGAAGCUAUUUUCACUACUUUUGUGGUCGACAGAAAAGACAUUCCGAAUAUUCGCACUUGUUGAUUGGUGCUUUUAAUAAAAAAAUGGGAAUAUAUAUUCCUUUAUGAUUGGAUUGUUGUAUCAGAAUUUCAACUUGAGAAAGUUUUUAGAUAUGGACUGGAUUGGUGUUCUUUUAGUGAUUUUUCAUUCCUUUUUUUAAUACUGUAGUUCUUUAUGGCUUUUCUAAUCAUCAAGCAAAUAUUUUUCAUUUAUAUUCAGAUACUUUACCAAGUUUGGUUUCAUUUUGAAACAAUCCAAUAAAUUAAAGUUUGUUGUGUUUGAUGGGGAAUUAAGAAUUGAAGGGGAUGGUGAAUUGUUUAUGAAUUAGAUUGGAUUGAAAUUGAUCAAACAUUUCUAACGACCUGACCGGUCGUUUUGAGCUCUGGCACGUCAUUCAGCAGUUUGAGGCCAUGAGCGGCUUCAUCUCAGGUAUAUUUACUUGUGUGUAUGGUCAGAAUUAAAAUUCAAGAAGUUUGGAGUCAAAUCUAAAUGGAAAUUCUCAUUUUGAAAGCUUAAAAUUGAAGAAAUGAACCAGGAUUGGAAUUUUGAGUAAACGACAUCGGAAUUGGGAUCUAAAGGUUCCAACAGGUUUGUAUGAUGAUUUCGGACUUGGGCGUAUGCCCGGAUCGGGUUUUGGAUAACCCGGGAGCGUUUUGGCACCUAUUGUGGAAGAUAACAUUUUAGAAGAAAUUGCAUCAGUUUGGUUUAAAAUGCAUUUCAGUGUUAUUGAUGUCCGUUAGGGAUUCCAAGACUGGGAGUAGCUCCGUAUGGUGAUUCUGGAUUUGUGAGCGCGAUCGGAAGUGAAUUCGGAGGUCCGUAGGUCAUUUUGGAGCCGUUCGGCUAAAGAUGGAAAAUUGAAG
rnacentral:lncRNA from 1 species